GAGGGGACCGAGCGUUGUUCGGAAUUAUUGGGCGUAAAGAGCUCGUAGGUGGCUCCGUAAGUCGGGGGUGAAAGGCCAUGGCUCAACCAUGGACACGCUCCUGAAACUACGGAACUUGAGGUCGGGAGAGGAAAGUGGAAUUCCUGGAGUAGCGGUGAAAUGCGUAGAUAUCAGGAGGAACACCAGUGGCGAAGGCGGCUUUCUGGCCCGACACUGACACUGAGGAGCGAAAGCCAGGGGAGCGAACGGGAUUAGAUACCCCGGUAGUCCUGGCCCUAAACGAUGGGCACUAGGUUGUGGGAAGUUUCGACCCUUUCCGUGCCGAAGUUAACGCAUUAAGUGCCCCGCCUGGGAAGUACGGGCCGCAAGGUUG
rnacentral:rRNA from 1 species